AUGAACGCUGGCGGCGUGCCUAAUACAUGCAAGUCGAGCGAACGGACGAGAAGCUUGCUUUUCUGAUGUUAGCGGCGGACGGGUGAGUAACACGUGGAUAACCUACCUAUAAGACUGGGAUAACUUCGGGAAACCGGAGCUAAUACCGGAUAAUAUUUUGAACCGCAUGGUUCAAAAGUGAAAGACGGUCUUGCUGUCACUUAUAGAUGGAUCCGCGCUGCAUUAGCUAGUUGGUAAGGUAACGGCUUACCAAGGCAACGAUGCAUAGCCGACCUGAGAGGGUGAUCGGCCACACUGGAACUGAGACACGGUCCAGACUCCUACGGGAGGCAGCAGUAGGGAAUCUUCCGCAAUGGGCGAAAGCCUGACGGAGCAACGCCGCGUGAGUGAUGAAGGUCUUCGGAUCGUAAAACUCUGUUAUUAGGGAAGAACAUAUGUGUAAGUAACUGUGCACAUCUUGACGGUACCUAAUCAGAAAGCCAUGGCUAACUACGUG
rnacentral:rRNA from 1 species